rnacentral:rRNA from 1 species
GUGGUAUAGGGAGCUUACACUCCCAACCCACUGUGACCUUACCUCAGUUGCCUCGGCGGGAACGCCCCGGCCGCCUGCCCCCGCGCCGGCGCCGGACCCAGGCGCCCGCCGCAGGGACCCCAAACUCUCUUGCAUUACGCCCAGCGGGCGGAAUUUCUUCUCUGAGUUGCACAAGCAAAAACAAAUGAAUCAAAACUUUCAACAACGGAUCUCUUGGUUCUGGCAUCGAUGAAGAACGCAGCGAAAUGCGAUAAGUAAUGUGAAUUGCAGAAUUCAGUGAAUCAUCGAAUCUUUGAACGCACAUUGCGCCCGCCAGCAUUCUGGCGGGCAUGCCUGUUCGAGCGUCAUUUCAACCCUCGAGCCCCCCCGGGGGCCUCGGUGUUGGGGGACGGCACACCAGCCGCCCCCGAAAUGCAGUGGCGACCCCGCCGCAGCCUCCCCUGCGUAGUAGCACACACCUCGCACCGGAGCGCGGAGGCGGUCACGCCGUAAAACGCCCAACUUUCUUAGAGUUGACCUCGGAUCAGGUAGGAAUACCCGCUGAACUUAAGCAUAUCAAAAGUCCGGAGGAA